UAAAAAACAUUCUUUCUAAACCAUGUCGCAUUUUCAUUAGAUUUUGAUUCUAAGCCUUCAAUAUGUGGGGAUCAGUUUUUAUAUGGGAAAUAUGAUCAUAUUAGUUAAUUCAGAAGAGCAGGUGACUAUUUGGACCUCUAUAGGAAAAGUGAAAAUAUCAUCAAGGGGUCCAAACUUUCAACCGUACUCCUGACUUAAGUGUUGUAAUCAUAUCUUUCAAAUAGCGGCUACUUCCUACGUUUUGAGGUUCAAAUCGGUCAAAAAAGAGGCUUGUUUAUGGAGAGAAAUGAAAACUCCCUUGGAUAAAACAUGAUUAGAAAAUCAAGUAUUAGCCCAGUAAACAAUUUUGCAGCUACAAAAGAUGGCACUAGUAAAAGAACCCAAGAGGAAAUAAAUCCGAGUAGUGGGAUCCUGAAAAACGACACUAUGCAAAAUCUGGAAAAUCCACAAAAUCUGGAAUCAUUUGGAAGCUACGCAAAAUCUGUUUUCGAAAAAUCACUCAUCACCAGUUUACCACAAAUCGUCUCUUCGAAAACGUGGAAGAAAAAGUUGUGGAAGUCAGUUGUCUUUUUAUUUAGCUUGGCUGCAUUUCUCCACUUAACACAGGAAUUCUUCGCGCAUUAUUGGACAUACCCAACAGAAUCUCACGUAGUAGAAAGCAGACCGGAGGAAAUUGUUCUGCCUGCAGUAACGUUCUGCAGUAAUAAUCAUUUCAGUCGAGAAAAGUUUUGCAAUAUGUUCCCUUUUAUGUGUACCGAUUACAGUAAUGAUACAAAAGCAUUUUGUGCGAAGUUUCCAAAAUAUUGCCAAGCGAUGUAUGGUUUAGCUUUCACACCCAAUAAGAAAGUUCCGGUAAGAGCGGCUUUCUUUGACAACUGGUUCUACCGUCAAUGGAAAACAGCCUACUUAUUGAAUAAUAUGGAUCUAGGAAGGUGCGAUAAACAUUACAGUCUUAAUCAAGCCAUCAAUCUUAGGUGCAACAUGAAACAUUCUCCACUACUGGUGAAAGGAUAUCCUCAUUUUUGUAGAACAGUAGAACCUCUACUCGGGCAACCAGAAUCCAAGGAUGAAAUGAUCAAUGAAACUUUUUAUUAUGCGUUUGAUUUUCUGAACCAUCCAGAGGAUUAUUUUAGGCAUUCAGAUCCGCAUUUACUUUACGUAGUGGUUCACAAUCGCAGGCAUUUAGUGAAUCCAUACAAGAAGGGAAUUAUUUUAAAAGUUGGACACCAGUACGCUCUUCGAGUAUCUAUGAAUGAAAUUGAAAGGCUCCCUUAUCCUUAUGAUACGAACUGCACUGAUUAUUUAGCUGCAUGGAGGAGAAACAAUGGCACCGGUCCUCUGAAUCAAGAUAUAUAAAAACUACUACUCACGCCAUGACAAAAGAAUGUGUUAAAGAAUGCCAGCCAGCAUGCCUAGAACAGAAUUACGAGGUUGAUAAGGAAGUGUCCGAA
rnacentral:misc_RNA from 1 species